UACAGAGGUCCCAAGCGUUGUUCGGAUUUACUGGGCGUAAAGGGAGCGUAGGUGGCAUUCUAAGUCUGGUGUGAAAGCUCUGAGCUUAACUCAGAAAUGGCAUUAGAUACUAGUUUGCUUGAGGAUUGGAGGGGAGAUUGGAAUACUUGGUGUAGCAGUGAAAUGCGUAGAUAUCAAGUGGAACACCAGUGGCGAAGGCGAAUCUCUGGACAAUUCCUGACACUGAUGCUCGAAAGCUAGGGGAGCAAACGGG
rnacentral:rRNA from 1 species